rnacentral:rRNA from 1 species
AAGCUAUUUAGGUAGCGCCUCGUGAACUCAUCUCCGGGGGUAGAGCACUGUUUCGGCAAGGGGGUCAUCCCGACUUACCAACCCGAUGCAAACUGCGAAUACCGGAGAAUGUUAUCACGGGAGACACACGGCGGGUGCUAACGUCCGUCGUGAAGAGGGAAACAACCCAGACCGCCAGCUAAGGUCCCAAAGUCAUGGUUAAGUGGGAAACGAUGUGGGAAGGCCCAGACAGCCAGGAUGUUGGCUUAGAAGCAGCCAUCAUUUAAAGAAAGCGUAAUAGCUCACUGGUCGAGUCGGCCUGCGCGGAAGAUGUAACGGGGCUAAACCAUG